UACAUAGGAUGCAAGCGUUGCUCGGAAUUACUGGGUGUAAAGAGCGUGUAGGUGGCUAGAUAAGUCAGUGGUGAAAGCCCUCGGCUCAACCGGGGAACUGCCAUUGAUACUGUCUAGCUUGAGUAUGGGAGAGGAAAGGGGAAUUCCUGGUGUAGCGGUGAAAUGCGUAGAUAUCAGGAGGAACACCGGUGGCGAAGGCGCCUUUCUGGACCAAUACUGACACUGAGACGCGAAAGCGUGGGGAGCAAACAGG
rnacentral:rRNA from 1 species